CAAGUCUGGUUCAUCCUUGGGAGAAAUUUCCAAACACCUGAAGGUACCACGUUCAUCUUUACAAACAAUACUACAAAAGUAUAAACAUCAUGGGACCACGCAGCCAUCAUACCUCUCAGGAAGGAGACGUGUUCUGUCUCCUAGAGAUGAACGUACUUUGGUGCGAAAAGUGUAAAUGAAUCCCCACAACAACAGCAAAGGACCUUGUGAAGACACUGGAGGAAACAGACACGAGGCGUGACAUGCGGAACAUCAGGCUCACCCCACAAGAAGCGGUGCAUUAUCAAUGCCACUCUCAGCAAGCAGAUCUGAUUUGAAAUGAUGUACUCACUCUCUCUCUCUCACUCUGGAGGUACUGACAGGAGGAGCAAUAUGAGUCUGUAAGAGGUCGUCAUGCUGGAUGGUGAUGGAGGCUUUGGUGGUCCACACAAUGAAGAAGCAGGUGUCCCUUCCAGUGAUGUGGUGCUGACCUUGGACCUGGUGGCAGUAAGGAUGGUAUUCACGGAGGCGGUAAGACCCUCCCUCCUUGAUAUAGAACUCCUACAACUUCACUGCCUCUUCAAUGGUAAGAUCCCUUGCACCAUAGGGACACCUGACCUCCAUCAGUGCUUUGGCACCCACCAGACCAUCCGGUGAGGCACCCAGGAUCACAGACCCCUUGACCCAAAGCCCUUCCAUCUCUGUAGACAUUUUGAAUGACUUGAUACCCUUCAAAACAAAGAUAUCUGUGCCCCACUUUAUAGAUAACACCCCAUCCAACGACUGUGAUCUGAGGACCCUUUUAAGAAGCGGAGUAACACGCUUGGCCCUAACCACUGGUUUAUAAUUGCUGGCCGUCAACCUUCCUCUCCUCGUGGUGUGUCAGUUGGGGUUGGUGCGCUGUCCAACUGUUGCCUGCCGUUUAGCCUCCUGCUGCUCCACUGACAGCGCCAUGCCAGCCAGGAUGCCUGCAUGCCCCAGGUGCUCUUGUUUUUUAAUAAUGUUCAGUACAGACAGGGAUGACAGGGAGGGUAGCAGUUGUUCCGGCUCAGGUUCAAGGAAACAUGCCCCGGAGACACUGAACCUGCCCCGGAGACAGUUCAUUAGUCACUGAACAUCGUCUGUGUGCUCUCGGGACAGAGCGUUGUAGUCUUUGGCUGGGUACAAGUCCUCCACUGACUGCAUUUUGUUGGGCACGGCUGGCUUCCUCCACUCACAUUCCACAUCCAUAUGGCCAAUAUUAUGAACUGCCAAAAUCAGGAAAAAAGGACAAAUUAAGUCACACAAUUCAAUCUUGACACACAAUUCUGAAUGUCAAUAGAUUGUUGUAUUCAUUUUCAUCAAUGACAACAUUCUAGAACUGAGUCAUCACUUAUCUAAGUUUGGUAUCUGGGGUAAUCUGGUAAAUGAUGAUAUAAUUGAGUGGCUCUUUUCUGAAUGUUGACAGCAGUAUAGAACACAUUGUAUUGCUAAGAUGCUCAAACUUAACUUAACAGCUACACUCACCGACACAGGAUAAACUUUAUCCCUCAUGCUGGCCCUGACCAAACCGGUAAGUUGCCCCUCACUAUAGCUGCACUUUUCCACAUGACCAGACUUAUAGUGGUCUUCUCCCAUUUUAAUGCUCUUAUGCUCAUCCUUGAAAAAUGCCAUGAGAUCUGAAACAGACACCAAAGUUGACAUACUGUACAAGCUAGUAUCUAGGCUUGAUCUACUGUUCUGCUAACUAGCUGGCUAAAGUGUAGUCAGUGGCUAGCUAAGACAGAGAAAGGGGAUGGAAGAAGUUCAACACUUU
ensembl:lncRNA